GAUGAACGCUGGCGGCGUGCCUAAUACAUGCAAGUCGAGCGAACGGACGAGAAGCUUGCUUCUCUGAUGUUAGCGGCGGACGGGUGAGUAACACGUGGAUAACCUACCUAUAAUACUGGGAUAACUUCGGGAAACCGUAGCUAAUACCGGAUAAUAUUUUGAACCGCAUGGUUCAAAAGUGAAAUACGGCCUUGCUGUCACUUAUAGAUGGAUCCGCGCUGCAUUAGCUAGUUGGUAAGGUAACGGCCUACCAAGGCAGAGAUGCCUAGCCGACCUGAGAGGGGGAUAGGCCGCACGGGAACUGGGACGCGGUCCAGACUCCUAAGGGAGGGAGCAGUAGGGAAACUUCCGCAAUGGGGGGAAGCCUGACGGAGCAACGGCGCGUGGGUGAUGGAGGUCUUCGGAUCGGAAAACCCUGUUAUUAGGGGAAAACAUAUGUGUAAGUAAAUGAGCACAUCGUGACGGUACCUAAUCAGAAAGCCACGGCUAACUACGUG
rnacentral:rRNA from 1 species